UGGGAUAUCGCAAAGCGGUAAGGAAUAGCACAUUGACUGCUACAUGAGUAGGUUCGAAUCCUGCUAUCCCAGCCA
rnacentral:tRNA from 1 species